rnacentral:rRNA from 1 species
GACAGAGGGUGCAAACGUUGUUCGGAAUUACUGGGCGUAAAGCGCGUGUAGGCAGCUUCGCAAGUCGGAUGUGAAAGCCCUGGGCUCAACCUAGGAAGUGCACUCGAAACUGCGAAGCUUGAGUCUCGGAGAGGGUCGCGGAAUUCUCGGUGUAGAGGUGAAAUUCGUAGAUAUUAGGAAGAACACCGGUGGCGAAGGCGGCCCACUGGUCCGGUACUGACGCUGAGGUGCGAAAGCGUGGGGAGCAAACAGG